AUGCUCACUUUAGCAGCACAUAUAUCAAAAUUGGACUGAUAGAGAGAAGAUUAUCAUGACCCCUGUGCAAGGAUGGCACGCAAAUUCGUGACACACUCCAUAUUUUA